UACGGGGGGGGUAAGCGUUGUUCGGAAUUACUGGGCUUAAAGGGUGCGUAGGCGGCGCAGAAAGUAGGGUGUGAAAUCCCUCGGCUCAACCGAGGAACUGCGCCCUAAACUACUGUGCUCGAGGGAGGUAGAGGUGAGCGGAACUUAGGGUGGAGCGGUGAAAUGCGUUGAUAUCCUAAGGAACACCGGUGGCGAAAGCGGCUCACUGGACCUCUUCUGACGCUGAGGCACGAAAGCUAGGGUAGCGAACGGG
rnacentral:rRNA from 1 species